GAUGAACGCUGGCGGCGUGCCUAAUACAUGCAAGUCGAACGAGUUCUCGUUGAUGAUCGGUGCUUGCACCGAGAUUCAACAUGGAACGAGUGGCGGACGGGUGAGUAACACGUGGGUAACCUGCCCUUAAGUGGGGGAUAACAUUUGGAAACAGAUGCUAAUACCGCAUAGAUCCAAGAACCGCAUGGUUCUUGGCUGAAAGAUGGCGUAAGCUAUCGCUUUUGGAUGGACCCGCGGCGUAUUAGCUAGUUGGUGAGGUAAUGGCUCACCAAGGCGAUGAUACGUAGCCGAACUGAGAGGUUGAUCGGCCACAUUGGGACUGAGACACGGCCCAAACUCCUACGGGAGGCAGCAGUAGGGAAUCUUCCACAAUGGACGCAAGUCUGAUGGAGCAACGCCGCGUGAGUGAAGAAGGCUUUCGGGUCGUAAAACUCUGUUGUUGGAGAAGAAUGGUCGGCAGAGUAACUGUUGUCGGCGUGACGGUAUCCAACCAGAAAGCCACGGCUAACUACGUGCCAGCAGCCGCGGUAAUACGUAGGUGGCAAGCGUUAUCCGGAUUUAUUGGGCGUAAAGCGAGCGCAGGCGGUUUUUUAAGUCUGAUGUGAAAGCCCUCGGCUUAACCGAGGAAGCGCAUCGGAAACUGGGAAACUUGAGUGCAGAAGAGGACAGUGGAACUCCAUGUGUAGCGGUGAAAUGCGUAGAUAUAUGGAAGAACACCAGUGGCGAAGGCGGCUGUCUGGUCUGUAACUGACGCUGAGGCUCGAAAGCAUGGGUAGCGAACAGGAUUAGAUACCCUGGUAGUCCAUGCCGUAAACGAUGAAUGCUAGGUGUUGGAGGGUUUCCGCCCUUCAGUGCCGCAGCUAACGCAUUAAGCAUUCCGCCUGGGGAGUACGACCGCAAGGUUGAAACUCAAAGGAAUUGACGGGGGCCCGCACAAGCGGUGGAGCAUGUGGUUUAAUUCGAAGCAACGCGAAGAACCUUACCAGGUCUUGACAUCUUUUGAUCACCUGAGAGAUCAGGUUUCCCCUUCGGGGGCAAAAUGACAGGUGGUGCAUGGUUGUCGUCAGCUCGUGUCGUGAGAUGUUGGGUUAAGUCCCGCAACGAGCGCAACCCUUAUGACUAGUUGCCAGCAUUUAGUUGGGCACUCUAGUAAGACUGCCGGUGACAAACCGGAGGAAGGUGGGGAUGACGUCAAAUCAUCAUGCCCCUUAUGACCUGGGCUACACACGUGCUACAAUGGAUGGUACAACGAGUUGCGAGACCGCGAGGUCAAGCUAAUCUCUUAAAGCCAUUCUCAGUUCGGACUGUAGGCUGCAACUCGCCUACACGAAGUCGGAAUCGCUAGUAAUCGCGGAUCAGCACGCCGCGGUGAAUACGUUCCCGGGCCUUGUACACACCGCCCGUCACACCAUGAGAGUUUGUAACACCCGAAGCCGGUGGCGUAACCCUUUUAGGGAGCGAGCCGUCUAAGGUGGGACAAAUGAUUAGGGU
rnacentral:rRNA from 2 species